rnacentral:rRNA from 1 species
GCAAGUCGAGCGCGCCCUUCGGGGUGAGCGGCGGACGGGUGAGUAACGCGUGGGAAUAUGCCCAGUUCUAAGGAAUAGCCACUGGAAACGGUGAGUAAUACCUUAUACGCCCUUCGGGGGAAAGAUUUAUCGGAAUUGGAUUAGCCCGCGUUAGAUUAGAUAGUUGGUGGGGUAAUGGCCUACCAAGACUAUGAUCAAUAGCUGAUUUGAGAGGAUGAUC